UAGACAGAUAGAUUCCAUCCUCCCACUUGAUUUUUGUGGGCUUCUGUUGCCAGCAAAGCAAUGAGCAGUCAUGUUCUUGUCUUCAGUAGGGAGCAUCUCUCUUAUGAGGAAAGGCUGAGAGAGCUUGGCCUGUUUAGCUUGGAGAAGAGAAGGCUGAGAGGCGAUCUUAUCAAYGUGUACAAGUAUCUGAAGGGAGGGUGUCGAGAGGAUGGGACCAGACUCUUUUCAGUGGUGCCCAGCAACAGGACGCGAGGCAACGGGCACAAACUGAAACACAGACGCUUCCAUCUGAACAUGAGGAAAAACUUUUUCACUGUGAGGGUGACAGAGCACUGGAACAGGUUGCCCAGAGAGGUUGUGGAGUCUCCUUCUCUGGAGAUAUUCAAAACGCGCCUGGAUGCAAUCCUGUGCAAUGUGCUCUAGGUGACCCUGCUUGAGCAGGGGGGUUGGACUAGAUGAUCUCCAGAGGUCCCUUCCAACCUCAGUGAUUCUGUGAUUCUGUGAUUCUGUGAACCUAGUGCUCAGCCCACAACACCCCUCAGUUGGUAACAAUUCACCCAUUAACAGGUCAUUCUGUGGGGAAUUCCACAGCAUCUAGAUAUUUAUGGUGUGAGUCUGCAGUGUCACUUCUCCUUCCUCUGGACUUGUCAGUCAUGGGGUCAUUAGAGGGUGUGCCCCCAGGCAGCAGCAACCCCACAGUGUGGUGGCUCCAGCCCUGGUGCAGCUGGGGUUCAUUAACUCUCGAGGAGCACCCCAGAGCAAAGCCCUCUUCUGUAGGCUGCACCAUCUGGAGUCCCACGCUUGCCUGGAUGGCGCCUGUCACUCCACCCCUUGACACCGUCAGACAUGCACUUUUUUUCAGAAGUCAGCAAAUUCCCCUUGGUGUGCAGUGGGCGGCUUUUUGGUAAGCACAGUGUACUGGGGAAAUGCGCACUGUUAUUAAUAGAUACCAAAAACAAAGCAUGCCCAUUUGUAGUAACAUGUAAACAACUGUUAAUUUUAACUUAAUCCUUAUAGCAAUGAGAUUUGUUUGGCCUAUUGACCCAAAUUCRGUGAAUCAGAGUGUUGUUCCAGUUCAAUAUGUUAACACAGAAAUCUUAUUUUCUUUAAUUGCAAGGAUUUCUUUCCUGCACCAAAAGAUCAGUUUGUUCCCCAAGCUGGAAUAUUUCCCUUUAUAGGAGCUUCAAAUAUAGUCAGUCACCUUUUCUUUUUUUCCCCAUAUUUCCCUGUCUUCUCUAUAGUAAACAGACAACUUUAACUUAAAAUCAACAGUUGUUACACUUAUGCAUAGAUUUUACCAUCUUUUUCCUUUCCUUUCCUUUCCUUUCCUUUCCUUUCCUUUCCUCAAGGGAAGGUGUUAGCACCUUACUUAGGAUCAUGAAUUUUUACAAACACUAGAAUACAGCUGUUAAGUUUCAUUAUC
rnacentral:lncRNA from 1 species